rnacentral:rRNA from 1 species
GAUGAACGCUGGCGGCGUGCCUAACACAUGCAAGUCGAACGGAGAUUACGGACGGAAGUUUUCGGAUGGAAGACUGUAAUUCUUAGUGGCGGACGGGUGAGUAACGCGUGGGCAACCUGCCCUAUACAGGGGGAUAGCAGCUGGAAACGGCUGGUAAGACCGCAUAAGUCGGUUAAAUCGCAUGAUUUGAUCGGGAAAUGAGCAAUCAGGUAUAGGAUGGGCCCGCGUCCGAUUAGCCAGUUGGCAGGGUAAAAGCCUACCAAAGCGACGAUCGGUAGCCGGACUGAGAGGUCGGACGGCCACAUUGGGACUGAGACACGGCCCAAACUCCUACGGGAGGCAGCAGUGGGGGAUAUUGCACAUUGGAGGAAACUCUGAUGCAGCGACGCCGCGUGAGUGAAGAAGUAUUUCGGUAUGUAAAGCUCUAUCAGCAGGGAAGAUGAUGACGGUACCUGACUAAGAAGCCCCGGCUAACUACGUG